CGCAUCUUGCGCUCCUUGGUAUUCCGAGGAGCAUGCCUGUUUGAGUGUCAUUAAAUUCUCAACUCUCUUAUGCUGUUUGGUGUAAGAGGGCUUGGAUUGUGGAGGUCUGCUGGCUACUCGUUUGAGGUCAGCUCCUCUGAAAUGCAUUAGCGGAACCGUUUGCGAUCUGCCACAAGUGUGAUAAAUUAUCUGCACUGGCGAGGGGAUUGCUCUCUGUGUUGUUCAGCUUCCAAUUGUCUUCACUUUGUGAGACGACUUCUUGAAUGCUUGACCUCAAAUCAGGUAGGACUACCCGCUGAACUUAA
rnacentral:misc_RNA from 1 species